ACUAGGUUCCAAAGGGGCAUGUUUGGAUAGAGGGAGACAACAUCUAUGAGUCAAAUGAUUCAAGAAAAUUUGGGCCUGUUCCUUAUGGACUUCUUCAAGGCAGAGUCUUUUGGAGGAUAUGGCCACCUAAAGAUUUUGGAUCGUUGGCGCAAAACAAAGGGAAGGAUUCUGUCUCAUGAAGUACGCUUAUUGAGCAUGCACACGGUUAGUGCCUCAUAUGUAAUGUAAUUGCAGAAUCUUGUUUUGAAGCUGCUGUUUAUAGGGAAUAUAGAAGCUUGUUUGUAGAAUGAUCUUUUUCUAUCAAGAAGAGUGGUUUAAUUGUGAUACUUUCAUGUGCAUGGCUAUUAAAACCUGUAUUCUUCAAGUAUUAUAAGUGGUUGAGUAAUGGGCAUCUUCUAAUA